rnacentral:rRNA from 1 species
GAUGAACGCUGGCGGCGUGCCUAAUACAUGCAAGUCGAGCGAACGGACGAGAAGCUUGCUUCUCUGAUGUUAGCGGCGGACGGGUGAGUAACACGUGGAUAACCUACCUAUAAGACUGGGAUAACUUCGGGAAACCGGAGCUAAUACCGGAUGAUAUUUUGAACCGCAUGGUUCAAAAGUGAAAGACGGUCUUGCUGUCACUUAUAGAUGGAUCCGCGCUGCAUUAGCUAGUUGGUAAGGUAACGGCUUACCAAGGCAACGAUGCAUAGCCGACCUGAGAGGGGGAUCGGCCACACUGGAACUGAGACACGGUCCAGACUCCUACGGGAGGCAGCAGUAGGGAAUCUUCCGCAAAGGGCGAAAGCCUGACGGAGCAACGCCGCGUGAGUGAUGAAGGUCUUCGGAUCGUAAAACUCUGUUAUUAGGGAAGAACAUAUGUGUAAGUAACUGUGCACAUCUUGACGGUACCUAAUCAGAAAGCCACGGCUAACUACGUG